AAAAAAACUUUAUGCAUUUGUUUUACUGUGACAAAUAAGAUAUAUUUCAUUAUCUGUUCCAUUUCUGGCUACAGGACAUACUAGCUUCAGUGUAGAAAAGUCCAUUUAUUAGAGAUGUGUUAAUAUAGCCCUAUUUAUGACAGAUGAUAAUGUCAGCGUCCGAUCUCCAUAUUAUAAAGCCACCAUUUCUUUUUAAAAAUGCAAACUGCUUUACCCAACGAUAAAAUCUAUUCAUUUUUACUAAUCAACCAAUCUCCAUUAUCUCCAGCUAACUAGCUAAAAACAUAAUGUAGACUGGAGUGAAAGAGCAUGAGGUUGAGAAACAGAUUCCUGUACCCAGCUUUUUAUAAAGCAUUUUCUUUCAUUAUAAUAGGUCUUUUCAUCAUAAUGACACGGAACCUUUAAAGUUGGUCAUAAUACUUCAGUACAGUAGAUGACCGUGGCUUAAAAUCUCGUUCAGAACCUGCUCCAGAAAGAAAACAAACUCACUCAUUUAAUUUGACACACAAAUUGUUUUCAAUUCAUUAAAAACCAAAAUUGCAUAGCACAGUGCUGGCAGCUGAGUGUGUAUGGAUGGAAGGGGUAUUCACUCAUCUCUUUGUAUGCUGGCAGUACCAAACCGAAGUUUAGCACUAAGCAGCAGAGAUUUUUGUGCAGAGAGAAGAUGCAUGAGGCUGUUUUAUGGUGUUCUUUGGGGGAUCUGCUUCUGCCAGAACCCCUGGAAGAAAUCAGGAGUUAAUGGCAAUUGGAGUAAUUCAGUGUUUAUUUAACUGAAUGUUUUGCAAUUACAUAAAGUAUAAGAACACGUGAAGGUAGCUGUCUCCUUCUUAAGCACUCUCUGCAUGUUGCUUAUUUUCUUAGCGUGUCUAGUCUUUGGGAGAGGAACUUUUUAUCUACUCUGUUUGUAUAGAUUCUAGCACAAUGUGGCCAUGAGCUAAAAGCAGUGAUGGUAAGUGAAACAUCAGUGCAUCAGGGCAAAAUGUAGCCCAAUGUGAUCUAAAAAAUGAUGUGAACUAUUAUUCAGAAAAUAACAUCUGAUUUGUUUCACCACACAAUUACUGUACUACCAGAAUUUAAACCAUAAAGUACUCAGGAAUUCUUCAAUUAUGCAAAGUACUAUUAUGAAAUCAAUUUCUAUGAUGGUUUAUAUAACGUACAUUCAUAAAUGUUCUUUAAUUAAAUGUAAUAUUUUAUGGUUUCUUAAAAAUGGGAUAAGCUUCCACAUACGCUCUAAUCUCAGAAAUUUCUGAGCAAAGCUUUUUAAUCAUUGCACAGCACAUUCAUAGUUCCCUUACAUGUUUUCUGGUUUAAUGUAUUUAUUUUAUUAGUUCAAAUUGCAUUUGCUUUAGAACCUGUUGCCUGUUGUUCCAAGAUCUCAAUGGGUCAGACUUUGGUUUGAGUGAGUGAUAUCUCAUUUCAUUGCAAAUAAACAAACAACAGAAUAACUAGAAGGCAGUCGUGCCCCUUUGGUGAGAAGGGCUCAGUCCCAGCUGGGAACAGGCAAAGCAGCAUCAUUUUCACUCCAGCACAAAGUGCCUAUUCUUGAUGACUCCACUAAAGGAAGCAGAAGCAGAGUGACUCCUAGCAAAGCACAUCUGCACGGCUGUAUUUCACAGGAAGUAAUGCAGCUCCUCUGCAGAUAAAUUUCAGUGAAGAACAAAGAAUGAUUUUGUUCAAUGCUUCAAGAAUGAUGCCUUCAAAUCUGGACUUAGCUUUUCAGUUCCUGAAAACAAGACUCAGAGAGCUCAAACUAAUCCCCCCUUCCCAAAUUAAGCACAAUGGCUUUCAAACUAGCCUCCGUUUUCCAUGUGAAGAAAGCUUAAUAAUGCUCAUUAAUCUCCUUUGCUGUUUACAUGCUUUAUUAGACUAUUUUACCAACUAAAUACAAGUUAGCACAUUUGAGAUAAACAGUAGAACAGUAAUAGCUACAUGGGAUGUGGAGAAUGUAGCCCCCGAAGGAGACCUGCCUUAAAAAUGAAGCAACAGAAUAUGUGUAGCUAAGAACAAGACAAGAUGCAUAAUAGUGGCCUAACAGACAUUACUGUCAUUGAUUGCAAAUAUAUUCUGAUCCUAAAUCUUUUCUCAAUGCCAUAAACUUUGGAGGCAUUCUCUCUACCACACUUGGUUUUCUAGUAGCUAGACAUUUAACAUGAGACAGUGAGGUGCUUUUCUGAAUGAUACAAGCAGCUUUUACUCAGGAGUCAGAUGUAGUUAGGAGCCAAAACAUGAUCAUAUUAAAAACAAACAGCUGAGCAAAGAUUACCUCUUGCCUUCUCUUUUAGCAUGUGCAACAGAUUCUGAUAAAUGCAGAAGAGAGAUUAUCAAGUACUCUGUUAUAGUCCACUUUUCUAUUUAAUUUCAAUUGUUUAAAAUGCCCUUGUCUUUCUUUAAAAGCUCAAAUGCAAUUCCUUUCUCUAUUAGUUUUGUACUUCCCUUCUCAGAAAAGAGUGAUUUAAUCCUACACAGCUUUUCUCUAAGUGCCUUGAAUAACAUUUUUAGUGAGAUUGGUGGUAGGGUUUAUGGGAAAAUAGCUAAAAUAAAAAAUAUUCACACAAUUUAAAUGGAGCCUAAAAGUUAAAAACAAGUCAGCUGUCCCCUCCAACUCCCAAUUUCAGCAGUUUACCUUUUUAUUAAAUAAUAGUAGAAUAUUUUUAUGGCAAAGUUCUCAAACUGUGGACUUCUAGACUGGAAUACAGUAUUUUUUCUCAUAAGUAUUUUGGCAUUUCUUCUCUCCAGAUAGGAAUAACAUUUCUGAGAUUUCAUGAGAAUGGUCUGCAGAAGGUCACAGCAUUUCAAUUGGGUCUCUAAGGCAACUUAGCGAUGAAUGCUCUAACAUAUAUUUUUCCUUGAUGUCCCCUGGAUUGGAAGGUAAACUGAAAGACAAUGUGUUUAUACUGGCUCCGGUUUCAAGAAUUGGAAACCAUACUGGAAGGAUGUUGUUGCCUCCUGAUUUGGCAGUUGGAGACUACACUGGAAACUUGCACAUUUACUGUGGCUUGGGUGUCUAGGACUGGAAGUUGUGUUGAUGGUAGCUCAGAUACACUGGGGAGCUGCAACUUAUUGGCUUUCUCUUUAGAUCACUAGAGAAAAUGAGCCUCCAAAGGGUGGCUAUUGAUAUGAUCUUUCCUUAUCUCUUAAGACAGAUAAGGUAUUGUAAUAGGGUAGUUUUCUCAGUUUAUACAAACUAUUCUAAUAUCAUUAUAUAAACCAUAACAACAUUGCAUUGUAUUGUAAAGCAGAAUAGCAAAAGAAUGUAACAGCUCCAGUUUUGUAACAAAUAUGUAACAAUCCAACUGCUAAGUAUAGUAACCCAAUGAAUGCAGAUGUAACAUCCAAUGUGAGCCUUUAAUGUAUCAUCUUGAACAGUGCAUGUAAAUGAUACAGGACUGAAAUAUCUGAAUGCAUAUGCAUCCACUCAUUAUGUUUAUAAAUGUAAUAUCUAUGUGAA